rnacentral:lncRNA from 1 species
AAAUUAUGGACCGCCAUUCAUAGAAAAUGACCAAAUUAUUUUUGAUGGGAUAAUGAGCAGCACCGAUGGAUCGGCCUCUUUGUCCAACGGGACUAGUCAGCUGCCUCUAAAGCGGUCUAUAGUGCCAUCCUUGUACUGGAAUGAUCAGGAGGAUGAUCAAACGGCUGGGGCUUCAUCAAGCAAGAGGGUGGUACAACUGCACCAAUUGGACAGUGGUACUAAUAAUUCUGUUGCUGCUAAUAACAAUUCUACUUCUAUUGCCAACUUGCUCUCUCAGCUUCCACAGACACCUCCAUUGCAUCAGCAUGCAAUGCUAGGAUCCCUUGGUGAUGGCCUAUUUCGAACACCGUAUCAGCUUCCUGGGAU